rnacentral:snoRNA from 1 species
UCCACUUCACCAACACUCUGGCCCUUACCUCCUGUCUUCGGACAGUGACCAUGGUAUAGGCCUAUUUUGGUGUGAAGAAGAUUGACGACCUCCUACUCACCGCGGUAGUCUUGCCUCUGGUUUGGCUUCAGCGGUCCAUCUUUUACGGUCUACAC